UGAUUCCUACGGGACGCAGCAGUGGGGAAUAUUGGGCAAUGGGCGCAAGCCUGACCCAGCAAUGCCGCGUGAAGGAAGAAGGCCCUCGGGUUGUAAUCUUCUUUUAUCAGGGACGAAGGAUGUGACGGUACCUGAUGAAUAGGCUCCGGCUAACUACGUGCCAGCAGCCGCGGUAAUACGUAGGGAGCAAGCGUUAUCCGGAUUUACUGGGUGUAAAGGGCGCGUAGGCGGGAUGGCAAGUCAGAUGUGAAAUCCAGGGGCUCAACCCCCGAACUGCAUUUGAAACUGUCGUUCUUGAGUACUGG
rnacentral:rRNA from 1 species